rnacentral:lncRNA from 1 species
UGACUUCACCAGGACCCUUGGCAACAGUGCUGGUGGAAAGUGGAAAGAAACAGUUACAUGAGCCAUAGAUGGCAGAAACAGUAGGUCCACUCGUUCCCCUUCCUACCUGCCCUCACAUGGUUUCUGGAUUCUCUUCCACAUAUUUUCAGAAUUCCAGGAUCAACACCUCCCUCCCUGUUCCUGUUCCCCCCAGAACAUUUUUGAGGCAGCAUUUCUACAGUGGGGAUGGCAUUCCCCAGAUGAUCCACUCAAGCUGCUCCACAGGUGUCCUUUGCUCCUUUCUUCUUGCCUCUUCCUACUAAUUGGCACUCCGAGGCCUGGAUGAAGACCUACAAUGAAGCCCACUUAUUUUGUAAGAAAUCCUAGUCUCCUGAGUCACACAGUGACUGGGCUGUGUUACUCAGUUUCAAUAUUGGGGACUGUGUCUAUGUGUGGCUUGUAAGCUCUAUGGGUCGGGGUGCACGCACCAGUUAUAACAUUCUCUAGCCUUAUACUACAGACUGCCAACUCUCAAACUUGGCUGUACAUUAGAAUCUGAGAGUUUUAAAAAAUAUUGAUGGCUGGGUCUCAUCCCAAGGAACUGUAGUUUAAUUACUCUGAGAUAUGGACCUGGGCAUUAGAGAAUUUAAAAGCUCCCAGGUGAUUCUAACGUGCAGAAAGGUUUGAGAAUCACUGCUCUAGACCAGGGGUCAGAAAAGUUUUUCUGUAAAGGGCCAGAGAAUAAAUAUUGUUGUCUUUGUGGAUCACAACGACUCAACUCUGUAGCAUGAAAGCUGCCAGAGACAAAUGAAUAGAAGUAGUUGCUUUCCAAUAAUUCAUUUCCAAAAACAGGAGCAAUUGGGAUUUGGCCCAUGGGCCAUAGUUUACUGACUCCCAGUCCAGAUCACCUUGACUGAUGUAAUAAUUUUUUUUUUAACAGAUUUAAAUUUUCAACCAAAGCAACUUUAUCAUAUGAUUGCAUUUUUCUGUUUUUAUUCUGCAGAUAGAACUCACAUUUAGGCAGCAGGUAUAUGAAGCCCUGAAACUCCUUGGGAUCCCUAUGUUCAAAUGCCAAAGCAACUGUGACCAACUUUUGCCAUAUGGCAAAAAAAGACACUCUCUUGGCCUCCUUUUUCCACCAGCAAUGGAAAAGAAAAGAAAUAACAAUAAUAAAGAAAGAAGAGGUUGGUGUUUUCAUAA